GACGAACCGAGCGAACGUUGUUCGGAAUCACUGGGCUUAAAAGGGCGCGUAGGCGGGCAUUCAAGUCUGUGGUGAAAUCCUCCAGCUCAACUGGGAGAACUGCCGUGGAUACUGGGGUGUCUCGAGGGGAGGUAGGGGCGUGCGGAACUAUUGGUGGAGGCGGUGAAAUGCGUUGAUAUCAAUAGGAACUCCGGUGGCGAAGGCGGCACGCUGGACCUCUUCUGACGCUGAGGCGCGAAAGCCAGGGGAGCAAACGGG
rnacentral:rRNA from 1 species